GAUGAACGCUGGCGGCGUGCCUAAUACAUGCAAGUCGAGCGAACAGACGAGGAGCUUGCUCCUCUGACGUUAGCGGCGGACGGGUGAGUAACACGUGGAUAACCUACCUAUAAGACUGGGAUAACUUCGGGAAACCGGAGCUAAUACCGGAUAAUAUAUUGAACCGCAUGGUUCAAUAGUGAAAGACGGUUUUGCUGUCACUUAUAGAUGGAUCCGCGCCGCAUUAGCUAGUUGGUAAGGUAACGGCUUACCAAGGCAACGAUGCGUAGCCGACCUGAGAGGGUGAUCGGCCACACUGGAACUGAGACACGGUCCAGACCCCUACGGGAGGCAGCAGUAGGGAAUCUUCCGCAAUGGGCGAAAGCCUGACGGAGCAACGUCGCGUGAGUGAUGAAGGUCUUCGGAUCGUAAAACUCUGUUAUUAGGGAAGAACAAAUGUGUAAGUAACUAUGCACGUCUUGACGGUACCUAAUCAGAAAGCCACGGCUAACUACGUG
rnacentral:rRNA from 1 species